rnacentral:rRNA from 1 species
GAUGAACGCUGGCGGCGUGCCUAAUACAUGCAAGUCGAGCGAACAGACGAGGAGCUUGCUCCUCUGACGUUAGCGGCGGACGGGUGAGUAACACGUGGAUAACCUACCUAUAAGACUGGGAUAACUUCGGGAAACCGUAGCUAAUACCGGAUAAUAUAUUGAACCGCAUGGUUCAAUAGUGAAAGACGGUUUUGCUGUCACUUAUAGAUGGAUCCGCGCCGCAUUAGCUAGUUGGUAAGGUAACGGCUUACCAAGGCAACGAUGCGUAGCCGACCUGAGAGGGUGAUCGGCCACACUGGAACUGAGACACGGUCCAGACUCCUACGGGAGGCAGCAGUAGGGAAUCUUCCGCAAUGGGCGAAAGCCUGACGGAGCAACGCCGCGUGAGUGAUGAAGGUCUUCGGAUCGUAAAACUCUGUUAUUAGGGAAGAACAAAUGUGUAAGUAACUAUGCACAUCUUGACGGUACCUAAUCAGAAAGCCACGGCUAACUACGUG